UUGGCUUAGAAGCAGCCAUCAUUUAAAGAAAGCGUAAUAGCUCACUGGUCGAGUCGGCCUGCGCGGAAGAUGUAACGGGGCUAAACCAUGCACCGAAGCUGCGGCAGCGACACUAUGUGUUGUUGGGUAGGGGAGCGUUCUGUAAGCCUGUGAAGGUGUACUGUGAGGUAUGCUGGAGGUAUCAGAAGUGCGAAUGCUGACAUAAGUAACGAUAAAGCGGGUGAAAAGCCCGCUCGCCGGAAGACCAAGGGUUCCUGUCCAACGUUAAUCGGGGCAGGGUGAGUCGACCCCUAAGGCGAGGCCGAAAGGCGUAGUCG
rnacentral:rRNA from 1 species